rnacentral:misc_RNA from 1 species
GGGGAGGAAAAACGGAGAGGAAAAGAAAUCAAGAAGAGAACUCACUCCCACGGCCGGCCACAACGGCUACGACGAAAUGGGCAGCGCUGAUGACGUACGGCCGAACGAAUCGCACGGCGGCGUGCUGCCAACUUGAACAGUGAACGGACGGUGGACUGGAACACCCACGAACGUCAGGUAGCAGCGGAUUUUGCGACUCAGGGCAAACGAGUCGAGCAACCAGCGGCGACCACGACUCCGGCGAGGAAAACG